rnacentral:rRNA from 1 species
AGAGUUUGAUCAUGGCUCAGAGUGAACGCUGGCGGCAGGCCUAACACAUGCAAGUCGAACGGCAGCACAGCAGUAGCAAUACUGUGGGUGGCGAGUGGCGGACGGGUGAGGAAUACAUGGGAAUCUACCCUGUCGUGGGGGAUAACGUAGGGAAACUUACGCUAAUACCGCAUACGACCGAGAGGUGAAAGCGGCGGACCGCAAGGCGUCGCGCGAUUGGAUGAGCCCAUGUCGGAUUAGCUAGUUGGCGGGGUAAAGGCCCACCAAGGCGACGAUCCGUAGCUGGUCUGAGAGGAUGAUCAGCCACACUGGACCUGAGACACGGUCCAGACUCCUACGGGAGGCAGCAGUGGGGAAUAUUGGACAAUGGGCGCAAGCCUGAUCCAGCCAUGCCGCGUGAGUGAAGAAGGCCUUCGGGUUGUAAAGCUCUUUUGUCCGGAAAGAAAAGCUCUCGGUUAAUACCCGGGGGUUCUGACGGUACCGGAAGAAUAAGCACCGGCUAACUUCGUGCCAGCAGCCGCGGUAAUACGAAGGGUGCAAGCGUUACUCGGAAUUACUGGGCGUAAAGCGUGCGUAGGUGGUUCGUUAAGUCUGAUGUGAAAGCCCUGGGCUCAACCUGGGAAUGGCAUUGGAAACUGGCGACCUAGAGUGCGGUAGAGGGCAGUGGAAUUCCCGGUGUAGCAGUGAAAUGCGUAGAGAUCGGGAGGAACAUCUGUGGCGAAGGCGACUGCCUGGACCAGCACUGACACUGAGGCACGAAAGCGUGGGGAGCAAACAGGAUUAGAUACCCUGGUAGUCCACGCCCUAAACGAUGCGAACUGGAUGUUGGGUGCAACUAGGCACUCAGUAUCGAAGCUAACGCGUUAAGUUCGCCGCCUGGGGAGUACGGUCGCAAGACUGAAACUCAAAGGAAUUGACGGGGGCCCGCACAAGCGGUGGAGUAUGUGGUUUAAUUCGACGCAACGCGAAGAACC